rnacentral:lncRNA from 1 species
AUCAACUCCCCCUUUUGCCAUUUUUUUUUUCUUCUUUUGGAAUUGUUGCAACAAUCAAAAGAAGGUGAAACUUGAAAUAAAUUGUGUAGCUAAGCUAUCUAUAGAAAAAGGACUAUGGUUUAUGCAGUUUCUUUUGAUUAUUAUGCAUUGGUGUGUAUAUAAGUAUGGAAGAGAAUGGAAGACUUAACUACAAUUUGGCAUGUUCAUUAAUUCAUAUGAACUUCCACAUGAGAAUCUUUUAUGUGUUUUGUUUUUAUUUUUCUUUUGAACUCAAAGUAAAAGUCAAGUCAACUUCAGUUUUUGUUUUCUAUUUUUGAUUUUAUUGAUAAUCUCUGAUUCAUUUCAUUUCAUAGUACCCUACUUCCAGGAGAAGUCGAAUCCCCAUGGCCUCUUUGAAAGAGAGAUGUCUUCACAUCAAUUUCAUGAUUUUUGAGUUUUGUGAACCAUUAAAAUUUUAUCUUUUUCUUAUCUUCUUUUGAGCCAAAUAUUCAAUUAAAAUAUCUUCUCUCUUCUUUCCUCUCUUCCCCUCUAUUAGAUUUUUCCCCCUCUCCAUCCAGUUGAACCAAACAAACAUGCAAAUCAAAAUGUAAAUUAAGACAUUUGACUGAAGUGAUUAAU